ensembl:snRNA U6 U6 spliceosomal RNA
GUGCUCACUUUGGCAGCAUAUGUAUUAAAAUUGGAGUGAUACAGAGAAGAUUAGCAUGGCCCCCGUGUAAGGAUGACAUGGAAAUUUGUGAAGAGUCCAUAAUUUUU